UUGUAACCGUGCACUUUUUUCAUUUAUAAUCAGUUAAUUUGCAAGUAAACGCAGAAAAUUUGGUGAAAAUGUGAAAAAAAGCUUGCUGCUCUUCCCGAUCCCGAUUUUACAAGUUAGCCAUCUCCUAGUGGACUGAAUCAACUGGAACCGGCCCUCAAUGUUCUCCACCGUUAAAUCAUUUUGUUUCUUCGAAACAGGUUCAUCAACAAACUCGGGAGUGCGAGAGCUCGAGCCUCGUUGCCGAGCCAUGGAUAGCGCCGCGAAAGUUCUAAAUUCUUGAAUGUUCCGCCUUGAAGGAUGCCCAACACAGGAAAAGAAAAUAAUUUGGAAAUAAAUAAUGCUGUGUGGAAACGCG